CGCUCCUGCUCGUUGUCUGGCAGCUCCUCUUUGAUGACACUGAAAGAGGAAAGAACUGUCAGCCACCCACCAACCAAGACACAGUCAUCAAAGAAGGUCAGAUUUGGAGCUGACUGCAAUUCAAACUGCAGCAAUGACAGCUUCUGCAGGUCUUUCUUGGCCAUCUCGAUGACGUCGCUGGCCUCCUUCUCAGGGGCGAGGAGGGAGGAGGAGAAGGAGCUUGGCCCGCCGUACAGCGAGGAGCGCGUGGAGGCCCGAGAUAAGCUCUUCCUGAGAUUCUCGCUCACGGCCUCGCUUUCAAGAAGUUUAGCUCUGCAAGAGCAAGUUGAAAGUGUUACUGUCACACACCAUAAACAAGUGUUUUCGAUUGCUAUAAAACUUUCAACAGAGAUUUAUCUCAAUGGAAAAUAACAGCAAUAGACAUUUUAGGUUUGAAUUCCUGACAUGUAUUUCUGUAGUUUAAGAUGACUGCUUAUUGAAUAACACUAAAGCAUUUAAGUAAAAUAAAGUAAAAAAAAAAAAUGCUGUGA